rnacentral:rRNA from 1 species
AUACGGAGGGUGCAAGCGUUGUUCGGAAUUACUGGGCGUAAAGCGCGCGUAGGUGGUCUGUUAUGUCAGAUGUGAAAGUCCACGGCUCAACCGUGGAAGUGCAUUUGAAACUGGCAGACUUGAGUACUGGAGGGGGUAGUGGAAUUCCCGGUGUAGAGGUGAAAUUCGUAGAUAUCGGGAGGAAUACCGGUGGCGAAGGCGACUACCUGGCCAGAUACUGACACUGAGGCGCGAAAGCGUGGGGAGCAAACAGGAUUAGAAACCCCAGUAGUCC